UAUUGGAGUGCAUGAUUUAAAAUUUAAAGAAGGGAUUUGAGGAGACUGUGGGGUGGAGAUGAAGCCUAACCACCUCCACAUACUCUGUGAGGUCGAAGGGCCCCCUGUGGGAGUAGGAUGGCCACCAGAGAACACCGUGAACUUAAAAACAGCGGAAGCAGUCUACACAGGAGUCACAGGAGAGCCAGGACACCUGGGUCAAUAUCCACAUAUUGACUCAUGGCUAGGGUUAGCCCAAGACCCUCCUACUUGGACAAGGUUCUGCAUCCAGAAGGGAAAGGGAAAAAUAUUAAUGGCACAAAAAUUGACUGAUGAUGAGAAAGGAAAUUCUACAGGAGUUGGACAGGGAUGACCGGGCUGCCGUCUAUGGGGUCGCACAGAGUCAGACACGACUGAAACGACUUAGCAGCAGCAGCAGACCUGACCCCUCGCCCAUACUGGGUAAUGACGCGCCUGCCUCCCAGGGCUCCACCAGGACCAGAGGCCGCCUUAAUGCCCCAUCCAGGGCCGGGUGAAGUUCCUGCAGCAGCCGCUGCUCUUCCACCCGCUCUCCCGGAGUUCACAGAGCCGCCAUUUUGGCAGCCUCCAGUCCCAGCAAUGGAGACCUCUGGUCCACGCCCCCAGAAUUCCACCUCAGCUGGACCUCCUAGACUGUAUCCACCUCUCCCGGACAAAAUCUCAGAACUUCACUGCUUGCUCACAGGUCAAUGCUGCCUCUCGGCACAGAGAGAAACCUCCAGGGAUUCAGCUAAAACGCACGCUGCCCUUUGAACACCUGGAAGGGAGGCCCCCUCCCAUAAUAAAACAGGUGUCAGGAAAUUUGCCUCAGUUAAAGUUGCAGGUGUCACUCCCUGGAACCACGACAUGAGGGUGAAGAGAGCAUAGCAUGCAGACCUGGAGGACGCUGAGUGGACUACAUAAAAGGACCCCGCCGAUCCCCAGGAAACCAAGAUCAUCUUAAAGAAGAAAAAGAGAUGAAGCUCUACAAUCAACUGCUGCUACAAUGACUUGCUGGUAUCAUCUUGAGACUAACCAUAGUUUCAGUACAAAGAGGGACCUGUGCUAUAAUUAAAGUUGAAAUUGAAUGUUGUGUAUAUAUUCCUGAUUUAUCUGGCUAUAUAUCAGCCACCCUAGAUGACAUGAAAGGUCAGGUAAAAGUUAUGUCUGAUGAUAAUCUUCCUUUUUGAACUUCAGUCCUAUUUCGGUGAAGGGUGAUUGGUGGAAAACUAUAUUUA